CCUACGGGCGGCUGCAGUAAGGAAUAUUGGUCAAUGGACGAAAGUCUGAACCAGCCAUCCCGCGUGCAGGAUGAAAGCCCUAUGGGUUGUAAACUGCUUUUAGCAGAGAAGAAAAGCUUUCAUUAAUGAGAGUCUGACGGUAUCUGCAGAAUAAGCACCGGCUAACUCCGUGCCAGCAGCCGCGGUAAUACGGAGGGUGCGGGAGUUAUCCGGAAUAACGGGGUUUAAGGCGGAGUUAUACGGCAGUUUAGAAAUCUUGUCGCUUAACGAGAAAAUUGCCAAUGAUACUGGUACUCUUGAAUUGGGUUGAGGUUGGCGGAAUGUGACAUGUAGCGGUGAAAUGCAUAGAUAUGUCAUGGAACACCAAUUGCGAAGGCAGCUAACUGGGCCUUGAUUGACGCUGAGGCACGAAAGCGUGGGUAGCGAACAGGAUUAGAUACCCGGGUAGUC
rnacentral:rRNA from 1 species